rnacentral:rRNA from 1 species
CCUGAUCCAGCAAUGCCGCGUGUGUGAAGAAGGCCUUCGGGUUGUAAAGCACUUUUGUCCGGAAAGAAAUCCUUGGCUCUAAUACAGUCGGGGGAUGACGGUACCGGAAGAAUAAGCACCGGCUAACUACGUGCCAGCAGCCGCGGUAAUACGUAGGGUGCAAGCGUUAAUCGGAAUUACUGGGCGUAAAGCGUGCGCAGGCGGUUUGCUAAGACCGAUGUGAAAUCCCCGGGCUCAACCUGGGAACUGCAUUGGUGACUGGCAGGCUAGAGUAUGGCAGAGGGGGGUAGAAUUCCACGUGUAGCAGUGAAAUGCGUAGAGAUGUGGAGGAAUACCGAUGGCGAAGGCAGCCCCCUGGGCCAAUACUGACGCUCAUGCACGAAAGCGUGGGGAGCAAACAGGAUUAGAUACCCUGGUAGUCCACGCCCUAAACGAUGUCAACUAGUUGUUGGGGAUUCAUUUCCUUAGUAACGUAGCUAACGCGUGAAGUUGACCGCCUGGGGAGUACGGUCGCAAGAUUAAAACUCAAAGGAAUUGACGGGGACCCGCACAAGCGGUGGAUGAUGUGGAUUAAUUCGAUGCAACGCGAAANACCUUACCUACCCUUGACAUGGUCGGAAUCCUGCCGAGAGGCGGGAGUGCUCGAAAGAGAACCGGCGCACAGGUGCUGCAUGGCUGUCGUC